rnacentral:rRNA from 1 species
GAUGAACGCUGACAGAAUGCUUAACACAUGCAAGUCAACUUGAACUUCGGUUUGGGUGGCGGACGGGUGAAUAACGCGUAAAGAACUUGCCUCACAGUUAGGGACAACAUUUGGAAACGAAUGCUAAUACCUAAUAUUAUGAUUUUAGGGCAUCCUAGAAUUAUGAAAGCUAUAUGCACUGUGAGAGAGCUUUGCGUCCCAUUAGCUAGUUGGAGAGGUAACGGCUCACCAAGGCGAUGAUGGGUAGCCGGCCUGAGAGGGUGAUCGGCCACAAGGGGACUGAGACACGGCCCUUACUCCUACGGGAGGCAGCAGUGGGGAAUAUUGGACAAUGGACCAAGAGUCUGAUCCAGCAAUUCUGUGUGCACGAUGAAGUUUUUCGGAAUGUAAAGUGCUUUCAGUUGGGAAGAAAAAAAUGACGGUACCAACAGAAGAAGUGACGGCUAAAUACGUGCCAGCAGCCGCGGUAAUACGUAUGUCACAAGCGUUAUCCGGAUUUAUUGGGCGUAAAGCGCGUCUAGGUGGUUAUGUAAGUCUGAUGUGAAAAUGCAGGGCUCAACUCUGUAUUGCGUUGGAAACUGUGUAACUAGAGUACUGGAGAGGUAAGCGGAACUACAAGUGUAGAGGUGAAAUUCGUAGAUAUUUGUAGGAAUGCCGAUGGGGAAGCCAGCUUACUGGACAGAUACUGACGCUGAAGCGCGAAAGCGUGGGUAGCAAACAGG